UACGGGGGGGGCAAGCGUUGUUCGGAAUUACUGGGCGUAAAGGGCUCGUAGGCGGCCAACUAAGUCAGACGUGAAAUCCCUCGGCUUAACCGGGGAACUGCGUCUGAUACUGGAUGGCUUGAGUGUGGGAGAGGAAUGCGGAAUUCCAGGUGUAGCGGUGAAAUGCGUAGAUAUCUGGAGGAACACCGGUGGCGAAGGCGGCAUUCUGGACCAUUACUGACGCUGAGGAGCGAAAGCCAGGGGAGCGAACGGG
rnacentral:rRNA from 1 species